AUUGCCUCAGUAACGGCGAGUGAAGCGGCAAGAGCUCAAAUUUGAAAGCUGGCUCCUUUGGGGUCCGCAUUGUAAUUUGCAGAGGAUGCUUUGGGUGCGGCCCCUGUCUAAGUGCCCUGGAACGGGCCGUCAGAGAGGGUGAGAAUCCCGUCUGGGAUGGGGUGUCCGCGCCCGUGUGAAGCUCCUUCGACGAGUCGAGUUGUUUGGGAAUGCAGCUCUAAAUGGGUGGUAAAUUUCAUCUAAAGCUAAAUACUGGCCGGAGACCGAUAGCGCACAAGUAGAGUGAUCGAAAGAUGAAAAGCACUUUGAAAAGAGAGUUAAAAAGCACGUGAAAUUGUUGAAAGGGAAGCGCUUGCGACCAGACUCGCCUCCAGGGUUCAGCCGGCAUUCGUGCCGGUGUACUUCCCUGGGGGCGGGCCAGCGUCGGUUUGGGCGGCCGGUCAAAGGCUCCCGGAAUGUAGUGCCCUCCGGGGCACCUUAUAGCCGGGAGUGCAAUGCGGCCAGCCUGGACCGAGGAACGCGCUUCGGCACGGACGCUGGCAUAAUGGUCGUAAACGACCCGUCUUGAAACACGGACCAAGGAGUCUAACAUCUACGCGAGUGUUCGGGUGUCAAACCCGUACGCGCAGUGAAAGCGAACGGAGGUGGGAGCCCCCUCGUGGGGCGCACCAUCGACCGAUCCUGAUGUCUUCGGAUGGAUUUGAGUAAGAGCGUAAAUGUGGGGACCCGAAAGAUGGUGAACUAUGCCUGAAUAGGGCGAAGCCAGAGGAAACUCUGGUGGAGGCUCGCAGCGGUUCUGACGUGCAAAUCGAUCGUCAAAUUUGGGUAUAGGGGCGAAAGACUAAUC
rnacentral:rRNA from 1 species